UUUUCCACCAAGGUCAUCGAUCCUAGAACUACUUUAUUUUUAAAUUUGCUCAACCCUCUUAGCCUCUUAGGCCUAAUCACUGCCCAAAAUAUUGUAGUCGAAUUAAAAGGUUAGCCCUGUUAGAAAAUUGCGUACGAUAAAAACUCAGCGGAAAAGGAAAUCAAACAAAUUUGAUUUUUGAAAACUCUCGAGAUCUAAUCUCAAAAACCACGCAUUUAGGAUCCCUCAUGUUUUUUAAGAUUAAAGGAGCAAAGCAAGAUCGUAUCUUUACCUUUUUCACGGAUAAAUCCUCACCUCAAUUUGAUGAUCGUGGAAUUAGGUUAUCUUGAAGCCGCACACUCAUCCGGCCUCUAUAGGUAUCCACAUAAGGUUCUUGAUUUGAUCGAUGUCCUCACUGGGGUACUAGCUCCCUUGCAAAAGGUCGUCUUUCUUGCUAGAAUAUGGAAGAGAGAGGAGGAGAGAGAUGGACGGCUAGGGUUUUCUAAAAACUCCCGUAUAUUAUAUAGAGGAAUAUAAUUCUCUUUCUAAUAAUAUAAUGACAAUUAAGGAUAAGUACAAAUCUAGAUUUAAAUUUAUCAUUUUCUUAAUUGGUUUGAUCGAUCAAAUCUUAAUCUGAUUCGACUUGAACUUUAUAUUAAUUUGAUCAUAUCAAUUUAAUAAUACAACAUUUGCAUAUAAGUCCUCUUAUAAUUUACUAACUAUUAGUAAGUCCUCUCUUGUAACAUUUACACCUUAAUAUCACUAAUUUGUAACAAUUACAAAUUAGUCCAAUUAUCAACAUAUUGACAAUUAGGCCCUCCGGCGAUUCAAUAAUCGCGGUCUAGCUAUCUGACCAAUCACAACCUCUUAUGUGUGUGACUCCAUAGAUUCUAUUCUAUCUGGUAGUGAGAUAUAUUUUGAUCACUAUCAACAAUAUCACUGAAACUCCUUUCAGUGG
rnacentral:lncRNA from 1 species